GACAGAGGCCUCGAGCGUUAGGCGGAAUCACUGGGCUUAAAGCGUGUGUAGGCGGAUCGUUAAGUACCUUGUGAAAUCCCACGGCUCAACCGUGGAACGGCUGGGUAUACUGGCGGUCUUGGGCCAUUCAGGGGCGACUGGAACAAGCGGUGGAGCGGUGAAAUGCGUAGAUAUCGCUUGGAACGCCGAAGGUGAAAACAGGUCGCUGGGGAUGUGCCGACGCUGAGACACGAAAGCCAUGGGAGCAAACGGG
rnacentral:rRNA from 1 species